rnacentral:pre_miRNA from 1 species
UAUUUGGAUAAAGUUAUUAUAUCGGAAGAAGGAAGAGAGAGAGAGAGAUCUUUUAUCUAUCUGUGUUUCCUUUUCUACAUUUCUUCGUAAAGAUGCUGGUCCAAUCGUUGG